rnacentral:misc_RNA from 1 species
AUCCAUCUGGGUCUUGGGAUUUCUAGGGUUUCAUAUUCCCGUCACUGCCUCUUUUAUAUCCAAUCCAUUCCGGUCGUAAGUAUAACUAGUCUAGGGUUUAUUUUCAUCAGAAAGACAAUAAUAUGCCUCAGAGACACUCGAAGAACAAUAACGAUUUAGCUUUCUUCACGUAUGAUGAGAAGCGAAAGCUAGGAUACGGAACCCAGAGGGAGAGGCUUGGUAAGGACUCUAUCAAGCCUUUUGAUGCCUGCUGUCUCUGUUUGAAACCGUUUAUUGAUCCCAUGUCUUGCCAGAAAGGCCAUGUCUUUUG